UCACAGGAGAAUCUGAAGUCAAGCGAGUACAAAUUGGAAAACAACAUAAUUCAUUGUUAUAUUAAUUCAAAUAUAAUGUGUCAUAUAUAUAUAUUUGUAUUAUUUUUAAUGAAUAUCGCAAUUUGUUUUAUUUUAUGUGGUUGUUUUGGUUCCAGUUUCUAAAAUAAUAAUGUACCACUACGGCAAAUGCUCUCCCUCGAAGUGCUUGUACUACAUAUCCCACAAUGCACCUGCGCGAGCGCUCUCAUUAGUGUCAGCUGUGCUCCACCCCUUUCUUAAGUUUACCGUUACGACCGCCAUUGUUGUUUUUAUAUUUCUUUGCGAUUAUCUGGUUCCAAAGCAGUCGAGUCAAAUGAAGGUAAAUUUGAGUGAACCUCAUUGAACAAAACGUUGGUGUUUAUAUAGUAGUUAGCUCACGAGUUCGAUGUGAAGCGUUACAAAUUGCUAUGUAUGCUAGUUAAUUGCUGUGCUACGUGGAUAAAAUGGCAACUUUGUCCCCUGUGUAAAAUGUCUUUUUUUUAAGCCAAGAGAGAUGUUUUUUUUUUUUGUUUGUUUUGAUGAAAGUAACUUAUAUUAGGAAUUUUUUUUUUCAAUCAGGUUUCAUUGACCAGCCAGUGGGUCCAGCCUGAAAACUGACAUCCAUGGUGUCCAUAAACCCACGCCGGGAUGAUCACCCCAACUGAGACCAACACCAGACUGCUGGAUAAGACAUCAAUGCAUUCAGCCGCGCGGACUCGAGGACGCGGACCGGACAGCGGCAAGCUGGGGGAGGGCGGGCGCGCGCACGCACGCAGCCUACUUCCACUUGGACGUGGCCGAAUCGAGGCGCGCAGGAGCCCCGCAAAGUGUUUGCCGGAGGGAGCGGAGGAGCAACGGCCCCCUCCCCGGCCGCCGUUCAUGCAACGCGCGGGUGGAGACGAGGCGGACCGUGCCCCGCAGGAGGCCCGAGGAAAUAAUUAGCCGCGCACGCAAUCGGGCGCGACAUGACCGAUACUGUGUGCAAACUACUUGAACACGUCUUCAAGUCAUAAUUCAAGCACUUCUCAGCGCCGCAUGACGUCCUGGCGCGCGUCUUUGCUGCGGUUUCCCCGCUGAGCUGGCUUAGAUCGAUUGCUUCAGCUUCUCGCUUCGCAUCGGAAGAAAGGCCGCGCUUCGUCGUACGCCGUCCCCCGGAAGCCAUUUGAUCUACCGAGGAGACGGCGAGAUGUUUUUCGUCGCCGCGUGAGGUCUGGCCCGCCCGCUCUCCCCGAAACCGAGAUGUUAAUUUAUCGGAUGAUAAUUGUUGCUUUUAUUUCCCUGGGCCCGCCGCGUUUUUCCUUUUGAGACCGGAGACUCGGCCCGCUGCCGCAAAUUCUUCUCGAGUCAUGAGAUGGCAUGCAGAGAUGGCAGCCAUGAUAAUAUCAUCUUGGAGCCUGGUCCAGGCUGAUCACGACGAAGGGCGAUCCCAUGUGGCGUUAUUUGUCAAGACGAGACUUUUUUUAGACUUUUAAAAAAAUUCAACCUGGACAAGAAGGCGACAUCUUCUUAAAAUGGCCCCCGCUUCUCCGUCGGGGUUCACUUCCUGAAGGCGGACCAUCGAGCGGACGCACGUCUGCGCUUGCUCCCGUCCGUCAGCUCAUAAAUGUCAUCGCGGGGGACGGAUGAAAC